AUGGGAGUGGGGGACCGGAGGUGGGAAGCAGUCGCAGGGGAGUCACCAUGAGAGGUUCAUCUCCCUUUCUUGCCCACCUUGGGUCGUAAAGCCCUUCGGAAGACUUCUCCACAGCUUCUGCCAUAUUUACAGACGAGAGGAGAAGGAGAUUCGCUGGUGAUGAAGCCAGGUUUACAAGGUAGCCAAGAACAAAGGAGCUAAUUGGCUCCAGAUAGAGUCAACCACAUAGAUCGUAAGUAUAUUUUUUGCCUGAAUCUUGUAAAAAAUUUCUGAACAAUCAGGAUU
rnacentral:lncRNA from 1 species